rnacentral:lncRNA from 1 species
AUCCAUAUAUCAAAACCUGGCUCUGAUACCAGAUUAAAGAAAAUAGGACCAUUUCAGAACGGAUUACCAAGGAGCAUUUAAAAUUUUUUUAUAAUAAUUCAACAAAAGUUUUCUUCUUUUAUCUAAUUCACAACAGAAUAGGGAUCAAAUCUCUAAAGAAUUCUGAAUCCAAAGCCUCACAAAGGUUUGAACGAACAAUGAAGCCUCUACUUCGCGUGCACGUCAAGCUUCUCAGGAAAGCACAAUGAAGCCACAGAUUAUUGUAUCUUCACAAGGCAGCA